rnacentral:rRNA from 1 species
UACGGGGGGAGCAAGCGUUGUUCGGAUUUACUGGGCGUAAAGGGCGCGUAGGCGGUCAGUGCAAGUCAGUUGUGAAAUCUCCGGGCUUAACUCGGAAAGGUCAACUGAUACUGCUCGACUAGAGUGCGGAAGGGGCAACUGGAAUUCUCGGUGUAGCGGUGAAAUGCGUAGAUAUCGAGAGGAACACCUGCGGCGAAGGCGGGUUGCUGGGCCGACACUGACGCUGAUGCGCGAAAGCCAGGGGAGCGAACGGG